UUCCCCUAAGUGACCUUCGCAAGGAAUUGUGGGUCAUCUUGCAAUCGACCAGAGUCUGUGUUCAUGAAUUUUUGUAAAGUACAACAAACUUCAUAAACUCAACGUCAGCGUAGUUAACAGAAACCAUGACGUUCUGGAGACAAGCUGGCAUCAAUUACAUUCAGUACUCUCAGAUAGCAGCAAGAGUAGUCCGACGAGCACUUAAGCCAGAAUUUAAAGCAGAAGCUUUGAAGAGAGAAGGCUCCGAUGCUAAAGUUGUAAAGUGGGAGAAUGGAAAACCUAUGAAGGGAGCAGCGUAACCAC